AUUGAACGCUGGCGGCAGGCCUAACACAUGCAAGUCGAACGUGUGGCGGACGGGUGAGUAAUGUAUGGGAAACUGCCUGAUGGAGGGGGAUACCUACUGGAAAAGUUACCUAAUACCGCAUACCAUCAGAUGUGCCAAGAUGGGAUUAGUUUGUUGGUGGGGUAACGGCUCACCAAGGCGACGAUGCAUAGCUGGUCUGAGAGGAUGACUAGCCAUACUGGAACUGAGACACGGCGCAGACUCCUAAGCGAGGCAGCAGUGGAGAAUAUUGGCCAAUGGGGGCAAGCUUGCUGCAGUCAUGCCGAGUGUAUGAAGAAGGCAUUCGGAUUGCAAAUUACUUUUAGCAGGGAGGCGUUCCCCGCAUAAGAAGCCCCGGCUAACUACGUGCCAGCAGCCGCAGUAAUUC
rnacentral:rRNA from 1 species